rnacentral:rRNA from 1 species
UACGUAGGGGGCUAGCGUUGUCCGGAUUUAUUGGGCGUAAAGAGCGUGUAGGCGGCCAGGUAGGUCUGCUGUGAAAACUCGAGGCUCAACCUCGAGACGUCGGCGGAAACCAUCUGGCUAGAGUCCGGAAGAGGAGAGUGGAAUUCCUGGUGUAGCGGUGAAAUGCGCAGAUAUCAGGAAGAACACCCGUGGCGAAGGCAGCCCCCCUGGGUCAACACUGACGCUCAUGCACGAAAGCGUGGGGGAGCAAACAGG